rnacentral:rRNA from 1 species
CCCUUAGACGUUCAGGGCCGCACGCGCGCUACACUGACCAGUGCAACAAGCAUCCGUCCUUGGCCGACAGGCCCGGGCAAUCUUUGAACGCUGGUCGUGAUGGGGAUAGACUUUUGCAAUUUUUGGUCUUCAACGAGGAAUUCCUAGUAAACGCAAGUCAUCAACUUGCAUUGAUUACGUCCCUGCCCUUUGUACACACCGCCCGUCGCACCUACCGAUUGAAUGGUCCGGUGAAGCCUCCGGAUUGGCGCGCACCUCGGUGCCGCCGAGAAGUUGGCUAAACCUUACCAUUUAGAGGAAGGUGAAGUCGUAACA